UCACACAUAUUUCAAAACGAUACAAAUCAAUUUUUAUAUAUAAUUAAUACACAUGUCAAUAAUAAAAAAUACUUUGUAAUAUUAGGUCAUUUUCCCUAUUAUUUUUGGCUGAAAAAUGACCAGUUUAUAAUUAUAUUUGAAAAUAGUUAAACUUUAAUGGGCGACUGAAAGUGGGAUGUUUUGUCAUAAGGAAAGUGAUUGUUGCCGCCAAUGUGUUUCCAUUUUCCCUCCAAUUAAUAGCCAACCCUAACACACACUUUGGGUUGGGUCGGAAUGGGUGAAAUUCCGGUGUUUACUGACACCAAUCUUGGCACUCGCAUUGUCGUCCCUCUUUCUCCCCACGCUACCCCCUACCACUUCAAAAGACAAGUUGAAAGGACUCACUUGAAUUGUUUCUCAGAGAUGGGGCAGAUCAAAGUGGAUGCUGUGAUGGUCGAAAGGAACUCCUGCUUUUACCACCUUUCUGGAAAUUUUCCUCUAAAGCAUGUUUUCCAGCAUCAAGGGGGAUUUAGGUCACUGCAUGUCCAAGUUCAUCAAUAUGGGUUGGGUUCAUCUGAACUGGAUCAUGAUGAUAAUGUUCCUUCUAGUCCCACAAAACUCAGAACUUCUACGACAAGCACAAAAUCUGACAAGUUAAAAUGCCAAGGAAAAGUGAAAAAGCUGAAAAGAUUUGCCUGGCUUAGAAGUAGACUGUUAGAUGUUUUAACAAUAGCUCAUUUAUCAAAGAAAAAAAAGAAAAAGAAAAAGAAAAAGGAAAGGAACAGAGCUAGGGAAAUGAACACAUUUAACUGCUUAGAAGGACCUGCGGAGCCUAUAGUUGUUUCCACAUAUGGAUGUGAAGGUAAGGAACAAAGUUUCUGUCCAGCAGCAGAGUCACAUUGUGAAGAUUCAUCCGAAGCAAUUUCGGUUUCGGGAAUUAUCAGGAAAUAUUUCUCAAGUUAUGAUGAGGUGAACUCAAGCUCAAGAUUUUCUCAUCAAGGAGCUCAAACUCUAAAAGGGGAUCAUACAAGGGUUGGAACAAAUCUUCGUGAUCUUAAUGUAGAAUGUGCUUUGCUGUCUCCUUGUUCAGUCAAAACACCUCGGCAAAUUUCAAAUGAAAGCGUUAGCAGAGCCUCAAACAAUAAGUCUAAAGGGAUUGAAAUUGGAAGUCGUAUUGUUUCCGCAUCCAAAAGUCUCUCUAGUCUCCGCAGUACGAGAUUGCUGCCUAGAUCUGCUUCUCAUAUUCAAAAUCUAGCAUUUGAGUGGAACUUAUGAUGUACCACCAUAAAAAAUUACAUGCCAUUUCUGGUAGAAGUAGUAGCAAAAUGUUGCUUAAGAGAUGAACUUCAUCUUUGUACCGAACUUCUCCUUUCCGUUUACAAUCUUCAGCUUUUAGGCUUUCUUGGGUGAGUAGGCGAAUGCAAUUCUAAAGGUAGUUUGAAUGCUGGUGGAGAGUAUCUUCAAUCGUGGAUUCGAAAGGUUGCUGUAAAGAUUUGUGGCCUACUUCAAACUGUUGCAUUUCUGAUCUGAAGAGUCGGUUGCUGCGAAUCCUUUUUAGCCUCUUGAUGUAUAGAUGUAAAGAAUUAAGUAGUGUUUCUACAAGGUUGAUGGCAUGCUAGACAUAUUUGGUUCAUUCGAUUUCAUCCCAUGCGCGUCUUGUGCAGCAAAGGAAGCAAGGGGUAGUCAAACAAUGGAAUUCCAAACAGUUUGAAGAGACUUUAGUUCCUUCCCGUUUGGACAUAAAUCUAGAUAUUCUUCAUCAUUCCAAUGGGUGGGUUGCAAAUCAUUUCAUCUUAUGAAAGGUGUUACUGUGCCAAAUUUCCUGCGUCUGCAAUGUACUUGAAGAAUUACCAUACAGGUAUCCCUAGUUCAGCUAAUUUGUGCAUUCCCUCUUGGGUUGCAGAGGUACAAUAAAAACAUCCUUUGGACAUAUAUGAAAGAGAAGUAAAAUAUGGUCGUUGAUCUGCAAUUAAGAGAACUUUAGAAGGAGAUGUCCCACCUUCUUAUAUGAUGGUACGCUGCGUUUCCAAUGUCUAUUCACUUUGCGACUUUCCAGUUGAACCACAAAUGGAACUUGAGCGGGAUCGAACUCACGGAUGGGUAGUAUGAAAAUUAUUUAUGUCUAUCACUGUAUUAUAAAUUGGAUUUGUUUGUUUCACUGGUAUUCUAUUAUUGCUGUCCUGUAGCUGAAUGAGCCAAAAUUUAGGUGUCAAGCAAUUUCUGUUGGGAAUCUAGAGGCCAAUUGAUAAGCCUCCUCUUGUUGAAGCCAACUGUUGGGAAUUUGUUUAGUCAAGUAAACCCUCUGACCUUACAGGAUGCUGUGAAAGCUGAUGCUGGCCAUAUGGGAUAUUUUGUGUACUGUUGGCUGCUGGAAAGCUGUUUGUUGGCUAAAAGCUUCUUAGGGUAACCACACUAUAUUAUAGGUUACAGUCUAUCCGAUUGUCACAUUGCUCACAGCUUAUCUUGUCAUUUACACAUCUGGGGAGCUGGAUUGUGUGGCUGGACAGGUCCUGUAUCACCUCUUGAGGUUAGCAGCUUCUAAAUAUUUUUGCUUUCAAGGGCUUUUCCAGUUUCUAUUAAUUUCAGGCGACUAGUUUGGUGCUGCAUAUAAAUGGGACAUAUAGAGGCAUCUCGUUUGGGGUUCUGAAGCAUUAGUAAUACCAACAACUCAUUACUUGCAUUUUUAUCCUGACCAUGCAAUUAUAAUAUUCCUAUCUCUCCUUUUCCCGUCUUGCUCCAUGUAAGUAUUGUUAGAGGUCCUGUUCCAAUUACAUUGGUUAAUUUCAAGGACAUAUCAUGUUUUCUACAGGGAAAUGUAAUUGAAAAUUGUUAGGUAGUUUUGAUUAUGAUGGAAAUCUAUAGCAUUCUGGUUAUGUUUUGGCGGUUCGUUGUAAGAUCUGAAUGGAUGGAUAAAGAGAUGCAUUAUUUUAAUGAAAAGUGAUACUAAAUGCACCACUGUUUGCUUUUUCGACUGCAAAAUAUAUCCACCCAAAAUGCAUAUUUGUCCUCCAUCACCCUGCUGCUUUGAGUAAUAAACUUGGAUCCUGACCUUUUUAUUCUCCUGCCAGCUUCUUGCUUUUCCGUGAUUCCGUCAUCUGUAUCCCGUGGUACAUCAAGAAAUAUGCCCCAACUCCUUCACCAUAGACCAUUGGGCGUCUGAUGCUAGUUUUAAUAAUAUUCAUGGCAAUAAUCUUAUGGAUUACUCUCAAGUCGACAUUUGAUUUAUUCAACGGAAAAGGGUCAAAAAACCCUUAACGUAUUAGAAAUGGGACAAAACCGCCCUCCUUCCAUCUGUUUGAUCAAAUUUGCCCCUUCUUCCACCUAUUUAGGUUAGAAAAACCCUUAACGUAUUAGAAAUGGCUCAAAAAUAGCCUCCUUCCACCUAUUGGAUCAAAUUUUCCCUUGACGUUAUUUUCAGGCUUAAAAUUGUCCCUUCAUCGACGGCAUUAAAUGACAUUUAAUUAAAUUUUAAUUAAACAUGUGACUUUAUUUAUUGGUCCAUAUAAAAUUCUAACCCAACCCGAAAGGACUCGACCUAUCCAUAACCAAACCGAACACAAAACCCAUUUUAGACUAACACGACUAAGCGAUAAAAUGCUUUUGCAUUUCGUCAUUCUAGACAAAAGAAUACUGAAUUUAGCAAUCUAUGUUAUUACCCUUCUCUGUUACAACUGAAUGCACCUUUUGUCAUUAAAUCUAAUAAUUUUUCUAGUUUCGGGUUAUACUUAACGUCAACAUUGUGAUGUUAUAAUCAAAGUUUUAAGUUUCUCGAUGCAUGAUCUAAAGAAGUCUAAUCUUAGCAGUUGAAAUCUAAGUUACACGGACUCGGGUGCGGGUAUCUGAUACGGGUACGAAUUCAAGUAUCGGAUUCGGCAAAAUCUAAAUUUUAAGAUUCGGGGGUGAGUAUCCAGUUAUGUAUACGGGUGCGGGGAUUCGGCUGUAAAUAUGAAAAAAUAUAAAAGGCAUAUGAAAAAAUACUUUCAAGAAUAAUCCAUUGUACAAAGGGGUCAAUUUUAUUAUGUUCAACUAGUAAAUAUGUCCGUGCUUUUUGCGAUUAAAAAUAUAAAUUAAUUAUCAAAGAAUUGACAUGCUAAUAAUUAAUUUAAAAAUUAUUCCUAUAUUGUAUAAGAAAGAAACAUUUAUAAAUAGCAUAAUUAGUUGCCUUUCAAUUUUUUGUCACAACUUGAAAUUGCUUUAGUCUGGACUCCAGCAAACCUGUAUCACUCUGUUAAAUCCCCGACGUCUGCUAAAUCCAAUCUAUUGGCAAUGAUGAUGUUUCUUUAAAUCAGUUAUGCAUAACACAUAAAUAUGUUUGUAUAUAUGUAUGUGGCUCGUGCAAUGGCUAGAUGGUAAGGGCUGGUGGUUUUAGCAGUUGGGCUUGGUUCGAAUCUAUAAGUCUGUUGGGUUGAAAAUAAAGAAUGACAAGACUGUGACAGUAAACAAAAAGCUGGUGUCCUUCUCUGGAACAUAGUGCGAGCACUUGAGGUGAUUUUUCCAAAUUAAGAUGAAAAAAUGUCUUCAUAAAUCUUAAUAAUUACUGUUAACAAUAAUCAAGCUUGUGAGUUUUCCAAUAAAGAAGCCAAAAGGUUUUGCAAGCUAUUUCAGAGUUUUCCCUGUCAAUCUUUUUCCGACUGUCAUAUCAAGAAACCGACAUUCUAGGAUGGAUCCUUUCUGUUAGAGCAUGCCUAUAUCUUGGAUACAGCCCCAACUUUCACGCAAUGCAGCCUCAAUACCAUUUGAUGGGUUUUAUCUGUGAUAUGUACUGACAAGACCUAUGUUUGUGAGUAGUCAAUCUAGAGGCGGUAGCAUUGUGAAGGGAAUAGUCUCAGCAUCUCAAAGAGGAAAGAGAGAUCCCUACAUUGGAAGCGACUAUGAAAGUGAAGAAGGGGCAAGAAUUUUGAGGAUACUCGAGAAAGCUGCAGAACCCGAACUUCUGAUGGCAGAGAUGACUUCAGAGCAGUUGAACUUAUUUUCAUCCUAUCAAGCAAAGUUGGAGCUAUGUUCAUUUCCACCUACUUUAGCCAUAGGAGGUUGGUUAGUCAUGAUUCCCUUUUUGUCAUUUUCAGGCAUUGCGGCAGUCUGACCUGCAGAAAUCUCUUGAAAGAGCUUUGCAAGAUGCUGGGCUUGCUGAAAGAGACGUCAUUCCGUUUAUGCAAGUUAGAGUUGUUGGAUUGACUAGCAAAAGUACUCCAUUGAAGUGCUGUCCCAAGGAAGGCUUUAUCACAAUAUGGAAUCCAACUGAGAAACUGCAAAGUGAGCUUGCAGAGGGUCAAGCUUUUGCUGUUUCAGGGCCUCAAGCUUUUGCUGUUUCAGGGCUUACACCUAUAAGGUGAGACUCUAGCACCCUUUACUUGCAAGCAAAAGGAUCCACAGCCAAAUGGCUGCCUUUGUCUCCUCUGGCAAUUGAGCAUUUUUCGGUCUUUUUUGUCCUCGCCAAUCAAUUCCACUGAAUUAAUUGGGUGAAGUUCGUAUGUCCAGGGAGUUUGAUAUUGCUGCGGUGUUUUUUUUUUUUUUUUUUUUCCCUCUCUUGAUAAGGGAUUUUAGUCAACUGCGGUGGUUGUUUUUGUGGGGCAGCUGUAUACAGAAGCUCAUCAAAAGAAGCAGUGGGUAUUUAUAGCUGAUGGAUCCACAGCUACGUUAGAUUCCAAUGAUCAAUCAGAAACCUUGAUGGCCAUCAGUUUCACCUCACCACGCAUAAGAACUGAUUCAUUUGCACCAAUAAACUCUAACCUUGUAGGAUCUACGUGAAGUUUCUGCAGGUUUGUUUCUGCAAUCUCAUCAAGAGGGCAAGAGAUAACAUUAAUAACCUCAGGGUAGCUGAAGCAACCGAAAAUUCAACCUAUUAUUUAAAUUAUGAUCAUUCACGUUGUUCUCAUCUAAAAGACGCCGGUGCUUCUGCUGAAAGAUGGGCAAAGAUAUCUGGCUUGAGACUUGAAAAGCUUAGGGGAAAAGUUCUAUCUAUAAUUAGCUGCUCUGAAAUUUGAAGUUCAGCGGGUAUCCUACUUAAAUAAUGCUGUGAGCUCUUUUCUAGAACAUUUUUUGGAACUAGUCGUGGAACUUAAGCAGGGAAAGGCUGCUAACAAUUUGUCACUCCAGCUAAAGAAGGCGAUUGAGAUGCACACAUUUAAGGGCUGCAGCUUUAUGCACAUAUAUAGCGAGACCUAUUUAUAUAUUGCAGUUGUCAUUUGUCUGCAACUUGAAGCAAUGCCGGGAUAUCAGUUGGGUCAGUACAAGGCAAAAUGAUCCAGCCAACAUUAAGCUUUCGCUGUGGAUGAAUGUUGUUUUCACUAAAACAAACUGUGUUGUGUUUUAAUUAAGUUCUCUUUAACCAUUAACGCGUUGGUGAUUUUGGUGUUCGUCAUCUUAGCAUCAAUUUUGUUUCUCAUUAUGUGAUUGUGCGAUUUCCCAUUUAGACCAUAUUUGAUGGUUUUAAGGACCUCGCUACAUUUCCAAUCAUGCUGUUUUAAUCUGUGUACGCGUUAUAAAUUAAGGGAGAAACCUUGCAUCA